rnacentral:misc_RNA from 1 species
GAACGCACAUUGCGCCCUCUGGUAUUCCGGAGGGCAUGCCUGUUCGAGCGUCAUUAUCACCCCUCAAGCCCGGCUUGUUGUUGGAUGCAGCGCUUAUCCCGCUCCUCCCAAAGAUAAUGACGGCGUCUGCGACGACUCCUGUACACUGAGCUUUCGGGCACGUACACGGCUAGAAGUCCAGACCCGGUCGCCGUCCCCCCCGCGGGGACACCCAUUACCACAAGGUUGACCUCGGAUCAGGUAGGAAUACCCGCUGAACUUAAG